rnacentral:lncRNA from 1 species
CUCAGAUCUGAUCUUGAAUCUUCUAGAUAUUCACCCUAAAAACCCUAUCUAAAAUGGAGAAGAAGAGGAGGAGGAGGCGGGUGAGGAAGAAGGCUGCAAUGGAUGUGUUUUCGGUGCCCAUAUUUGACCCCUUUUAAUGGCCUCCGAAUUUUCAUUCAAAAUUUAUUUUUAGAAAACCUCCUUUAGUUGGCGCAUGCUAAGGAAUAGGAACAACCUAAAUCAGAUCUCAACCAAAUCUGAUUUAAAUUCAAAUUUUAAACACAUGUGCAAGAGGGGAGGAAUUUGAAAUCCAUGCAGCAGAAUUUUUCUACCUCUUGUCGCAUAUAUUUCAUUUGAAAUUCGAAUUUAAAUGAUUCAGAGGUUCACACGCAAGCUAGGGAAGUUAUUUGAUGUAUGAAAUCAUUUAAUAUAUUGCUUAAUGUUUGAAUUCAAAUUCAAACAACAAACAAUGUCGCCAUGUGUCAAGCAAUGGGUCCAUGCGCCAUGCAAUAAUUUUGGUUUAUUUAAAAUUCAUGAAAUCCAAUUCCAUGUUACCACUAAUUGCCACAUCAUCUGAGCCUAAUCCUCUUGGGUUGCACCUAAUCAAAUUUGGUCAAACCCGGAUUAAAACAAAGCAAUUUGGUUGAACCCAAUCUAAUCAGGUCAGACCCUGAUUGAGCUCAAAUUGAAUCCAAUUCAAUUUUUGGCUCAUCCAAACUCAAUCAAAUUGAAUUAAUUACUUUGUGUUGGACCUAAUCCAAUUAGGUAAAUCCCCAAUUAAGAACAAAUUAAUUUAAAAUUAAUUUGAUCAGCUUAAGUCCUUUUUGGUUCUGACCUAAU